CAAAGUCCAUUUUGCAUUGGAUUUUCAAUUUUUCGAAUACAUAUUAUGUUAUAGCUCUUCUGAAUUCAAUAUGGAACUUUUAGAAAUUAUUGUCAUGAGAAGAAGUGACCGGUUGACAAGGAUGUUUUCUCGUCAAUGACACCUGAGGUUUGUGUUUGCUAUGCUUCCAAUAUGGACUUUUGAGCUUACAUUUGCUCUGUUCCUGACAUCCCCGGAUGGAGAAAAAUGGGAUGUAAAAUUUCAAUGAAAUUAAAAGCUG